UGUUACUUCCUUAAAACCAAGGCCACGUUUAAUGAUGCUUGGUUUAUGCAAAGAAAAAGACAUUGAAGUUGUUUUUCCUACUCUAAACUUUUAACCUUUCACGAUCUCCUAAGCUGCCUCACUUCUUAUAUUAUCACCAAAGUGCUCUUCCCCUUCCCAAGAAGGCAAUCUUACUGUGUGUGCCAUGCCAACGCCAUGGACACAUUUGCACAUAAAGCUCUGAAUCUCUUGCAUUGUCCCAAUCGGAGCCCUCACCAGCAGAUUUGAGAUAGAGGGAACUUAUCCACAAUGCCUAAUUUUGUCACAUUCAUGCAAGUACUGUUUUUCAUUUCAUAUAAAACCUUGAUAAAUUCAUGCAGCUCUACUUAGGGCAUUUUGUCCUUUUAGGUUAUGUAGUUACAGGAUACAUCAAUGGCGUGAGAGUUUUGGUCUGUUUCACCACUACAGCAUGUACA
rnacentral:sRNA from 1 species